AGCUAGUGUUCUGGGGUGUCGUUCCUCCGUUAUUCCUAAGAAAAGAUGAUGGGUUAGAGAUAGCCAUCUUGGACAGGCAGGGACAGGAUUUUGUACCCCAUGGAGAAGAAGGAAUUCUGGGACCUGGACCCCAACCAAAGGGAAGGCAAGGGAGAACUCUUGUAUCCCAUCUCUGCCUUCUAGUCUCAGGUGCCUGCAGGGCUCAGAGAUGCCCAGGCAGAGCCACAGCUGUGAACAGUUGCAGGGAGAUGCCCUGUAGCACCUGAGCCCAGGGCCAGGUCCUUGCCAUACCCUUUCUGCCUUCCUCUCUGUCUCUUGUGUCCCGUUCCUUCCUGGUGUUCAUCCCACCCAGGCAGUCCUAUGUUAGAUUCCCUGGUGAAAAGUACUGUCUGGCACUUUCUCUAGUAAAACAGCUCACAUCCUACAUGGGGAGAUGCCCCUGCCAGGUACUCUGAGGCUUGGGACCGUAACUUUACUUUGUGGCUCCCUGUGGCUCUCCGUUUUGCUUGGUGGCUCAUAAGAGGAUAACCUAAUUUGAGAACUUUGAAAUGUAGAGUUGCUACAGAGUGACAAUCCACUGAAGUGCAUGGGGCCUCUCAUAUUGAUUUUGACAUCUUUGACUAGAAGCCUCUACAAAUAGGAGUAGGGAGCAAUUUAUCCAACUUGGGAACGGCAGGGAAAAUUCCAGCCCCUGUGUUUCUGCCCUUUCCACUGUAUCGCUCGCCCCACCUAGUGGACACUGAAAGUAUUGCUGUUCAUGUUGGGGUGUCUGGAGGGUGCCAGUAUCUCUUCCUGAGUACUUGGGGAUGUUUUGGUUUAAAAAAAAAAAAAAGAAAAGAGAGUCAAGGUUUCUGCAACCUGGCUGAUCUCAUUUGGUCAGUUUUCCUGUUGGGAACUUGAGAACAGUGGGGACUUAGAGCCAGAUCAGAUAUUCAGAUAUCUGGCCUCUGGCAGAGGCUGGCAGCUGAGCCUUCUACACCCGAAUAGCAGCCAGCUCUCUCCUGGAAACUAAAGGAUUGGUCUUUGUGUUAGGGUACCUCAGAGAAAUAGAAACUGUAAUAGAAACUGAAAUAGAAACUGUGUGUGUGUGUGUGUGUGUGUACACAUAAAUAUAUAUGAAGAGAUUUACUAGAAGGAAUUGACUCGUGUGAUUAUGGAGACUGAGAAAUCCCAGUCUCUACAGAGGAUUGCUUGAGACCCAGGAGAGUUAAUGUGUAGUUCUGAUCCGAGUCCAGAGGCAUAAGAACCUGGAGAGCCAACGGCAGAAAUUCCAGUCUGAAAGCCAGUGGACUUGACGUCCAAGAACAGCUGAUGUUUCAAUCCAGGUCCAAUGGCCAGAAAAGACUAGUGCCCUAGCUCUAGCAGUCGAGUAGGAAGAGUUUCCUCUUAUUCAGCUUUUUGUUCUACUUGGGUUUUCAGUGGAUUGUAUGAGGUCCACCCCCACUGAUGAGGGUAAUUGGCUUUACCCAGUCUGCAGUUUUAAAUAUUAAUCUCAUCUAGAAAUACCAUCACAGACAUACUCAGAAUUUUGUUAAGACGUAUAUCUGGGCACCCUGUGGUUCAUUCAAGUUGACACAUAAAUUCAGCAAUCACAGUCUUACUCUCAGCAGCCCAAAGAAUGGAAAGAACUUAAGUUUUAGAAAGACGAAAAUCUCUCUAGCUGUGAGACAUUGCGCCAGUGUCGUAAUACCACUCAGCCUCAGUUUCUUCAUCUCUAAAUAGCACUGACUGGGCUGUUGAGAGGAUGGCCCAGGGCGUUAGGCCUGGCUCAUUAUGAUGCUCAGUCCUUGGUGACUGAGGUCUGUGAGGCUUUUCUUAUCGGCUUUUAGAGAUGUGGGGAAUCAGGAGCAUUGCAAGGACCCCAUCUAGUAAGCACAUGCUGAACAAGAAAUCUGCUUUUGCGGCCCACCUCCUUUCUGGGAUCGGGUCACUCCUGCCACAUGUGGUAGCCCCAGAUGAAACAAAACCUCUGGUGUUGACAGAUAAGGAUUCUCACUUCCCAACAUGCCUUACUCUGCUGCUCUCAUCUUAGUUUGAGCCCACAGAGGUAUGGGAUGAACCCUGAAACCCAGCCCUUCAGAUAUUCCCCAGGUCUAGGCUGAGCAGAGCACGUUGGCACAGGGCCAAGGUCAUAGACCACCAAUGGUUCAGUUUAACUGGGAUUGCCACGUUGCAUAUUGGGAAGGACCAGUGCGGACUGUAGUUCAGCUGACAAGUGAGGGGCUUAGGUUCCUCAGCCAGGACCACAAUCUUGCUCCCCAUAGGCCAUAAACUCCUUUCUCCCCUCUAGGGAGGUAUAAAAAAAUGGGACCACAGGCAAAGAGAAGACCUAGGUUCUAUCCCUCCUCUACCACUUUGUAGCUUUGUGACCUUAGGAAGGUUCUUCGCCCUCUCUGAGCUCCAUCUGUGAAGAUCCUGAGCAUUUCCUCCCUCCUGACCUCAGACAGCAGUCACAAGUUUUCCAUGAGAUGGUGUUAGCAGAAUGCUUUGUAAAUUGUAAAGUCUGUUCAUGGUUCAGACUCCAGCUGGCAGGAGACGCCACAGAUAAGGAUGGAGGUGAGUUGACACCAUCACUGUUAUCCUUCUCCUCUUCUCCCAUCUCUUCCUCAUCAACAUCACAGCUGCAGAGCUUGUUGUCUCGUUUAAGGUCUAUGAUGGCCCAAUGACGUAGGAGCUUUAUCUCCAUUUUACGGUGGAGGAAACUGAGUCUCAGAGAGGAGACAUCGUUGCCUGAGACCACACAGCCAGGGAGCUAGAGCUUUACUUAAGCUUGGGUCCUUGUGGUGCUGCCGUCGGAAUGGUGCUGCCAGGUCCUGCUCAGAUGCCCGCCCCUUCCCUGUGAAGUUUUUAUAACUCACUGCUGGCCUCUUUACUGUCUGGGGGGUGUACAUAUUUACUUGUGGGAUGCAUCGGCUAUUAUGAGAUUGGUAGCCCCAAUCCCUGAUCAUCUCUGUGGGCCCCAUCAACAGCUCAGGCAUUUAGGGGUUCUUAAAUGGUGUCUGGCAUUGAACCAAGUAGUUCUAGGUGACCAAGGAGGAGGAAGGGAGGGUAAGGGCAGUCUUGGAACAAAGCUGGGAAGAAUCACUGCCUUCUCCCUACUUCCCCAGUCCCCUACUGAGGGCUUAGGGGUUGGAGUUGCAAAGCAAACAGGUUGUUUCCAAGUGAAUGGGGGAGCCAGAUGGAGAGCAGCAGCUUCUGAGCUUGCACCCCACUCUCCUGCCUUCAUGUUCUGUCCCAGGCCUGGUGAGGUGGCUAAGGGAUGGCCACGGUGGAGGCAGACACGCUCUCAGCUUGCCUGCCUCCUUGACUGGGUAACCUUGUGCCCCAUUUCUCCCCUACUAUAAAGAAGAGGUUACUAACUGGCUCCCACAUGCCAGGUGCUCUGCGAGGGGCCCCGUGGGCUUCAUUGCUACCCAACACCUUCAGCCUCUCGGGGAGUUCCACUGUUUUAUCCAUGAACAAAUUCAAGGGCAGGGUGGGAAGGAACUAAGUCGGAAGUAGGCAGAUAACACGCUGGAGUUUUGAUCCUCGGUCUCCUUCCUAGAUCGCUCUCCCUGUCCUCUCCAGGCCACCCCUCACUGCUUUUUCCACCUGGCUCUGCCUUGAUCACCCCUCCAGGGUGUCUCCCCUGAUGGACCCACCUGGCUGCCCAGCUGAUCCUGGUGGCUCUCGCAUCCUGUCUGGACCCUUCCCUGCUAGUGUGCUGGGGUCCUAGUUCAUUAAUGUAUUUCAUAUCAGCCAAUCAGGCUACUUAAGAAAGCAGCGUUUACUCCAUUUAUCCAGGCACCGUAGAUAAGAGGACGGGUCCAACAAGAUGCGUUCUCUGCCCUUGAGAUCCUGAAGUCUUUGGAGAGACAGGGAGAGAGACAGAAUGUGAUGGACCCAAAUAAUCACGACAACGUGGUGUUGAAUUGCUCCCUGAAACAAAUGUCCUGAAAGCCUGGGGUGUUCAGCCACCCAGAGGUGAGACACCUGGGGGCAGAAGCUGGACCACCCAGAUGCACAAGGGCGACAGGGAAUCAGCAAGCUCUUACCCCAGAGACUAUUUUCUGUCAUUGUGACCUGGCUUCUCCACCCGUCGUCGUCAGUGCUAACAAGGGCAGAGUGUUUUUCUUUCACGUGGAACAUGUUCUUGUUGACCUCCUGCCCAGCAUGGUGAUGGGCCAUUAGCCUCCAUCUGGAGGGACACAGGGAGCCCUCACCCUCUGGCCUGUGUGGCAGAAAGAAGAGAAAAACUGCAAAUAUUUCCACGGCACUUUCUCAUUGCCAGGCACUGCUGUCGGGCUUUGUAACUAUGAGCUCAUCUGGUCCUCAGCACCAGCUUGUGAGGUGAAAUCCAGACCCUGACUGAUCUGACCACGUGACCCCUGCCUGUACCUCUGCAACCUCGUAGUGACCAGUCCCCUACUGGAAUGUCAACUCCAUGAGGGGUUUGUCCGUUUUGUAACAAAACUUUUGCUCCUUGUAGUUCUCAGGGCUUAGAACAUAGUAGGUACUCAGUCAAUACUGUGUGAAUGAGCCUGUGAACACUCCCUGUCCUCCAGCCAGAUGGAGCUUAUUUCACUGGGCCUCACAUUCUCCUUCCUGUCUGUCUCCCAGCCCCGACUGGCAUGGCUAACCCCUGCUCAUUUUUUUUUUUUCCGUCUGAGUUUUAAUGUCUCCUCCAGGGAGCCUCCAGUGACUUCUUUGCUGCCUCAGAUGGACCUCCUUUGUACCCUGAGCUUACUUUAAAUUCCCAGUCAUAGUAUUUAACAGACUUCUUCUUUUUGUGGUGCCAGGGGAUGGAACCCAGGGCCUUGCGCAUGCUAAGCAUGUGCUCUGCCGCUGAGCAAAACCCCCAUCCCCCACAUUUCUUUUUAUAGCUUCUUUAUUUUCCCUGAUUGCAUCACUAAAAAGUCUAACAACAGAAUACAUAAUGUUGAAAGCGAAAGUCUCUUUAACUUGCAUCCUACACAGAGAACUGCCAAGAGUUAGUUGUAAGUUUCUCAUUUUUUUUCCAUGCAUUAUCGUAUGCGUAUAUAUACAUAUAUAUGAACGAGAUCAUGCUAUUGGUAGUUAUGAAGUUUGCUCAUGUUGUUUUAGUUAAUGAGACUAAGACAUCUUGUAUACUAGUAAUUAAAGAUCAACCUUAUUCCUC